CAAAUUGCCCUUUUCAGGGCAACCAUAUUUUAAAACGUAGAGAUGU
rfam:Trichomalopsis sarcophagae strain Alberta scaffold6800, whole genome shotgun sequence.